UGAGCACUGAUGGGGAGAGGCGAAGGCAAGCAGCAGCACAAGGUCCAGCCAUCAGAGCGGGCAAAUCAGGGUUGUAAAAGCACAAAAACCAGCCACGCUUUGUGCCCGGGUUUCAGCCACUCUGCCCAGUCCGGGAACAUUCUGCAGACAUUUCAAUUGAAAGCUACUGGCGCUUUCAUUGCUGCCCGUUCCUAUUGCCAGGCAUGGAAAGAACAAGUAUGGAGUGGAUAAUUAAACAAAACCACAAACUUUUGUCAUUCUCAUUGGAAGGCAGAGCCCCAGAGCUCCCCACAGGGACCAUUGUGCCUCCGUGCAUCCCACCAAUGCUGGGCAGAUCUGGCCCUGAUCUGAAAUACUCUACCAGGUGUCCCACGCCAGCCUGGUGAGAGGUGGCAGAGACCUCACAAAUGCCAACCUGAGCAUCCUCAGUCAGAACACGGGUUUCAAGGAAUUCCA